AUUGAACGCUGGCGGCAUGCCUUACACAUGCAAGUCGAACGGCAGCACGGACUUCGGUCUGGUGGCGAGUGGCGAACGGGUGAGUAAUGUAUCGGAACGUACCUUUCAGUGGGGAUAACGUAGCGAAAGUUACGCUAAUACCGCAUAUUCUGUGAGCAGGAAAGCAGGGGAUCGCAAGACCUUGCGCUGACUGAGCGGCCGAUAUCAGAUUAGCUAGUUGGUGAGGUAAAGGCUCACCAAGGCGACGAUCUGUAGCGGGUCUGAGAGGAUGAUCCGCCACACUGGAACUGAGACACGGUCCAGACUCCUACGGGAGGCAGCAGUGGGGAAUUUGGACAAUGGGGGCAACCCUGAUCCAGCCAUGCCGCGUGAGUGAAGAAGGCCUC
rnacentral:rRNA from 1 species